rnacentral:misc_RNA from 1 species
AUGAAUUGUCAAGGGGGGGGUUGUUGCUGGCCUCUCAUCUGAUAAGCAUAGUGCGUGCCACGCCUACCCCCUUUUUUACAUGGCCAUCCACACCUGUGGCACCCUCUGUAGUGUCCAAAGUGGCGAGAGCCCGUAAGGCUGUCACAAUCUGGCACUAUGUCUCCUUUACAAACGCCUAUGUAUGUAAUAAGAGUGUCGGCUCAGCGUAUAACAAACGCAGAAAAAUAUAAAA